rnacentral:rRNA from 1 species
GUGUUAAACCUAAUAAAUCAUUCGAUUUCUGCUAAUAUCUGCAUUUUUUAUCUUCUUUUCUUCAUUUAAAAAAUUUUUUAAUGCAUCAUCUUCAGCCAUAAAUUUUUUGUUGAUAUUUUUUUACAGCCUUUUCAUAUUCUGGCUCUUCAUAUUUUUCAUAAUCAGCAAAAGAUAAUGAUGAAAUCAAACUUUCGCGAGCGAACUCUCGUUAAGGAACUCGGCAAAAUGACCCCGUAACUUCGGGAGAAGGGGUGCUCUUUAGGGUUAACGCCCAGAAGAGCCGCAGUGAAUAGGCCCAAGCGACUGUUUAUCAAAAACACAGGUCUCUGCUAAACCGUAAGGUGAUGUAUAGGGGCUGACGCCUGCCCGGUGCUGGAAGGUUAAGAGGAGUGGUUAGCUUCUGCGAAGCUACGAAUCGAAGCCCCAGUAAACGGCGGCCGUAACUAUAACGGUCCUAAGGUAGCGAAAUUCCUUGUCGGGUAAGUUCCGACCCGCACGAAAGGCGUAACGAUUUGGGCACUGUCUCAACGAGAGACUCGGUGAAAUCAUAGUACCUGUGAAGAUGCAGGUUACCCGCGACAGGACGGAAAGACCCCGUGGAGCUUUACUGUAGCCUGAUAUUGAAAUUCGGCACAGCUUGUACAGGAUAGGUAGGAGCCUUUGAAACGUGAGCGCUAGCUUACGUGGAGGCGCUGGUGGGAUACUACCCUAGCUGUGUUGGCUUUCUAACCCGCACCACUUAUCGUGGUGGGAGACAGUGUCAGGCGGGCAGUUUGACUGGGGCGGUCGCCUCCUAAAAGGUAACGGAGGCGCUCAAAGGUUCCCUCAGAAUGGUUGGAAAUCAUUCAUAGAGUGUAAAGGCAUAAGGGAGCUUGACUGCGAGACCUACAAGUCGAGCAGGGUCGAAAGACGGACUUAGUGAUCCGGUGGUUCCGCAUGGAAGGGCCAUCGCUCAACGGAUAAAAGCUACCCCGGGGAUAACAGGCUUAUCUCCCCCAAGAGUUCACAUCGACGGGGAGGUUUGGCACCUCGAUGUCGGCUCAUCGCAUCCUGGGGCUGUAGUCGGUCCCAAGGGUUGGGCUGUUCGCCCAUUAAAGCGGUACGCGAGCUGGGUUCAGAACGUCGUGAGACAGUUCGGUCCCUAUCCGUCGUGGGCGUAGGAAAUUUGAGAGGAGCUGUCCUUAGUACGAGAGGACCGGGAUGGACAUACCUCUGGUGUACCAGUUGUCGUGCCAACGGCAUAGCUGGGUAGCUAUGUGUGGACGGGAUAAGUGCUGAAAGCAUCUAAGCAUGAAGCCCCCCUCAAGAUGAGAUUUCCCAACUUCGGUUAUAAGAUCCCUCAAAGAUGAUGAGGUUAAUAGGUUCGAGGUGGAAGCAUGGUGACAUGUGGAGCUGACGAAUACUAAUCGAUCGAAGACUUAAUC